rnacentral:rRNA from 1 species
UCUAAUGGUCAUACCACCCAGCACACACCUGAUCUCAUGUGAGCUCAGAAGCUAAGCAAGUUCAAGCCUGGCUGGCGUGCGGAUGGAU